GACGAACGCUGGCGGCGUGCUUAACACAUGCAAGUCGAACGCUGAACCCGCUUCGGUGGGGGAUGAGUGGCGAACGGGUGAGUAACACGUGGGCAACCUGCCCCCGGCUCUGGGAUAACUCCAAGAAAUUGGGGCUAAUACCGGAUGUGACCGCUGGCCGCAUGGUCUGGUGGUGGAAAGGGUUUCCGGCUGGGGAUGGGCCCGCGGCCUAUCAGCUUGUUGGUGGGGGAGUGGCCUACCAAGGCGACGACGGGUAGCCGGCCUGAGAGGGUGACCGGCCACACUGGGACUGAGACACGGCCCAGACUCCUCCGGGAGGCAGCAGUGGGGAAUAUUGCGCAAUGGGCGGAAGCCUGACGCAGCGACGCCGCGUGGGGGAUGACGGCCUUCGGGUUGUAAACCUCUUUCAGCAGGGACGAAGCGCAAGUGACGGUACCUGCAGAAGAAGCACCGGCCAACUACGUG
rnacentral:rRNA from 1 species